GGCUUGUUGGUUUAGGGGUAUGAUUCUCGCUUUGGGUGCGAGAGGUCCCGGAUUCAUUCCCGGACGAGCCC
rnacentral:tRNA from 1 species